rnacentral:misc_RNA from 1 species
UUAAGUUCAGCGGGUAUUCCUACCUGAUCCGAGGUCAACCUUGUGAAGGUAAUAAUUGUCUCCCUUGCGGAAAGACGGCGACCGGCAGUCUGAAGUUCUAGCCUAGUACGUGCCCGAAAGCUCAGUGUACAGGAGUCCUCGCAGACGCCGUCAUUAUCUUUGAGACGGGCGGAGGCUUAGAGCCGCCGCCGACGUCCAAC